CUGAGUUUGCACCAUGAUGGUAUGUGAUUGUAGUUGUAGCGCGUUUAUUGCAACUCUUUUCGGAUGGUGUCUAACAUAGUAACAUGCACAUCUCUAAAUUAUCUUGCAGAAAGUGCAGCCGAGGAGCAUAGUUUAAAGAUGAUGUGAGGUGUCUAUGUUUCAGCUGCAUAAUUGGCAGAUUUAAGAAACCAGUUUACUAUCCGUGUAGCUACGUCGAAAUUUGUUCGGCCGUAGCAACGCACGGGUUUUGUGCUAGUAAUUGCCAAAGAUUCACCAAUCCUCCACAAAUUGGUGAAAAAUGAAGAACAACCUGAGUAAUAACCGAUCAACGGCCCAGGUGGCUACCGCGUAGCAGAAGAUGCUCCUCCCUCCUGCGCAAGAUCCGGCGAGGAAUUCAAGAUUAUCAUCCAUGAAUCAGUGAGGACCGGCGUUCGCCGGGGAAGAGAUAGAAGAAGAUGGAGCGGACGACUCACAUGGGGAAGACGAGGCAGAGCAGC